UGAUAUAUUGAUGACAGUCCAUGGCCAUUGCCACUGCCAUUACCAUUGGAGGAUGUGUGUGCUUGCAUGUCCUGACCAGUAUAUCCUUUUCCUUCUUGCUGACCACUGGAGAAAUCCAAAUCUCUAGUAUUGUUUUUGGAUAACCAUUCAGAGCCUGAGAAGGUGGUAGAUUGUCUUGAAGGAUUAGCACCUGAAUUUACAUCUUUAUCCGCCAUGGGAUCUGUAGAAUUAUUUUCAGGCUUCUUCGUACUAAGAAAACGGCCUCCACAACCUCUU
rnacentral:misc_RNA from 1 species